CACGGGGGGAGCAAGCGUUGUUCGGAAUCACUGGGCGUAAAGGGUGUCUAGGCGGUCAGGUAAGUGAGAUGUGAAAUGCCCCGGCUUACCCGGGGACCUGCAUCUCAUACUGCCUGGCUUGAGUAUGGGAGAGGAUGAGGGAAUUCCUGGUGUAGCGGUGAAAUGCGUAGAUAUCAGGAGGAACACCGGUGGCGAAGGCGGUUCUCUGGGCCUUACCUGACGCUGAGGAGCGAAAGCGUGGGGAGCGAACAGG
rnacentral:rRNA from 1 species